GUGCUAACCCGAACGAUUUGUCACAAAAACGAUAAGUAUGUCGAUAAGUUCACGUCGCCACGUAGACCAGUCAAUCGGACCACAUCGGUUACAUCUGUGGAUAUAUAUUUUCAACCUGGUGUGGUGCUGAAAUCACCGAUUUAUGUUUCCUUUACUGCUAACAAGAGAUUUAACGCUGAGUACAAACCGUACAUGAUCAAUUUAAAAUACGAGCUGUGUGACAUUUUCAAAUUCCGAAAUAAUCCUUUGUUCAAAAUUGCUUUGGAAAUUGCGAACAGGAGCGAAAAUAAUCUCUUAGAUCCAUGUCCGUUGAAGGGACAUAGAUAUGUGAAGUCUUACUACACCAGCUAUGAUUCAAUACCGAUGAUACCGGCUGGUUUGUGGAGGUGUGACAUUGCCAUUACAAUCGAAGUGGACAAGAAAGUCGAAGAGAUUUUACGAAUACAGAAUUUUUAUGAAGUUACAGAGCAGUGAAUAAUGUUGUAAAGGGAUUGGGAAUAA